rnacentral:lncRNA from 1 species
UCCCCAUGCGCGCGAGCGCGCUACCCCGCGCGUACUGGUGCAAACCGGACCGGUUCGCACCAGUACGCAGCCGGAACCAUUUUCCACAGUUGAACCAUACCGGUUGGCCCCAGCACCGAUACGGUACGUGCUAAACCGGCUAGUACGAGCCGAUCCAACAUACCAUGUUUAUAACAACCUUAUCCAUAGGCCCUAACAAAGACAUGGUCAAAGAAUCUAUUUUUAAAUCUAUUAGUUUCAUAUUGUUGGUUUAAUAUUACAUCAUCAUCAGAGUCCACCGAAUGGAGAUGCUUGAGCAAUCUAGGUUGAUCUCAGUGUAGGAUGAUUCAGAAUGUAGAUCUCAUCACAUAAGCAACAUUUUUGCAUACAAAAGAUUCCCAUAAAUUGCUGACAGGUCUACGCAGUAUGUAUAUAAAUCUAAAGCUUCAAGAUGGAACAACAAGAUCAUGGGUAUUUGGAAGAUGCAUCAAGAGGAUCCAGAGUACAAUCGUCAAGUAAAAAAG